AAGUGUGCGUUUAAGAUUUUAAUUAUGUUGGACCCAACUACGUUUGUUGUUUGAAAGAUAUUGUUGGUCAUGCAGUGGGUUUUCUGAAUAUUAGUCGGUUCCUUUUCGCUAGAGGCUAAGAAAUCAAAAGAAAACGAACCAUUUGCAUUGAUGCAAUUGAAGAAGGAAUUCGAACCUCUAUAUUUUUUUCUUCCAGUUGAGUGAUUGGAUUGCUAAUUUUCUUCAUUAAAAUUCAUAUAUGUUGCAUUGAAUUUGUAUCUUCAUUGUGUUGUAUCUUUAAUCUUUUGGUUUUAUUCUCUCAUUCUUUUACUCAGGUAAUAUAAUUUAUCUGAUUAUCUCAUGUAUGAACAUUGCGUCUUAUAGAUAGAUUAUGUACAAUUUUUUAUUUAACAUGUGUUUACCAUGACAAAACUUUGUUUUUCCAAAAUAUAAAUUCCAGUUUGAUAUAGAAUAAAAUAAUUUACAUAUAUGAAUGAGGGCUAUAUUUGACUACUCCAAUCAGGGUUUACAUCAUUGUAAUACUGAUUUUAUCCUUAAAUGCACCGUCCAAAACAACCUAAAUGCAUGCAAGUCAUGGCUAUUGAGUAUUUUUUGACAAAUGGGGAAGAGCAUAUGUGAAA
rnacentral:lncRNA from 1 species